rnacentral:rRNA from 1 species
UACGUAGGGGGCAAGCGUUGUCCGGAUUUAUUGGGUUUAAAGGGAGCGCAGGCGGAUUGGUAAGUCAGUGGUGAAAGGCUUGAGCUUAACUCGGGAACUGCCAUUGAUACUAUCAGUCUUGAAUAUUGUUGAGGUUUGCGGAAUGGGUCAUGUAGCGGUGAAAUGCAUAGAUAUGACCCGGAACACCUAUUGCGAAGGCAGCAGGCUAAACAAAGAUUGACGCUGAGGCUCGAAAGCGUGGGGAUCAAACAGG